CUGUUGCUAUGAUGAGCCAUGAAUGAAUUCACAUGUCAGACUUCAGAGAUUUUUCCUGUCAGGAAAACUCUAUGAGAACAUAUUCAUGAUUCUGAGCACCUU
rfam:Populus trichocarpa isolate Nisqually-1 chromosome 14, whole genome shotgun sequence.